rnacentral:rRNA from 1 species
UACAGAGGGGGCAAGCGUUGUUCGGAAUUACUGGGCGUAAAGGGCGCGUAGGUGGCCUUCUAAGUUGAACGUGAAAUCCCUGGGCUCAACCCAGGAACUGCGUCCAAGACUGGGAGGCUUGAAUCCGGGAGAGGGAUGCGGAAUUCCAGGUGUAGCGGUGAAAUGCGCAGAUAUCGGGAGGAACACCAAUGGCGAAGGCAGCUCGCUGGGACGGUACUGACGCUGAGACGCGAAAGCGUGGGGAGCAAACAGG